rnacentral:rRNA from 1 species
UACGUAGGGUGCGAGCGUUGUCCGGAAUUAUUGGGCGUAAAGAGCUCGUAGGCGGUUCGUCGCGUCGGCUGUGAAAACCCGGAGCUCAACUCCGGGCCUGCAGUCGAUACGGGCGGACUCGAGUUCGGCAGGGGAGACUGGAAUUCCUGGUGUAGCGGUGAAAUGCGCAGAUAUCAGGAGGAACACCGGUGGCGAAGGCGGCGCGCUGGACCACUACUGACGCUGAGGAACGAAAGCUAGGGGAGCAAACAGG